UGACAAACGAUGAUCGGGACGAGUAAGCGAUCGAGCGCAGCUUAGAGAGCCGGUGGACGGUGAAAACCGGACUGCUGCUUGCCGCUGAAAAUCACCCGGGAGUUCAAUAACCGAAAGACUGCUGGCUGCGUCGUGCGGCGGUCGAGUAAGUGAGCGCGUCAUUCUCGUUACGAAUGAAUCAAGAGGAACAGGGCUUGUGCCGGUAUAUUUCGGCUGAUUUCUGUUCAAUCAGGGUGGUACCACGGGAGCUUUCUCUCGUCCCUACA
rnacentral:ncRNA from 1 species